GACGAACGCUGGCGGCGUGCUUAACACAUGCAAGUCGAACGGAAAGGCCCUGCUUUUGUGGGGUGCUCGAGUGGCGAACGGGUGAGUAACACGUGAGUAACCUGCCCUUGACUUUGGGAUAACUUCAGGAAACUGGGGCUAAUACCGGCUAGGAGCUCCUGCUGCAUGGUGGGGGUUGGAAAGUUUCGGCGGUUGGGGAUGGACUCGCGGCUUAUCAGCUUGUUGGUGGGGUAGUGGCUUACCAAGGCUUUGACGGGUAGCCGGCCUGAGAGGGUGACCGGCCACAUUGGGCCUGAGAUACGGACCAGACUCCUACGGGAGGCAGCAGUGGGGAAUAUUGCACAAUGGGCGGAAGCCUGAUGCAGCAACGCCGCGUGCGGGAUGACGGCCUUCGGGUUGUAAACCGCUUUCGCCUGUGACGAAGCGUGAGUGACGGUAAUGGGUAAAGAAGCACCGGCUAACUACGUG
rnacentral:rRNA from 1 species